rnacentral:rRNA from 1 species
ACAUCCAGAGAACUUAGCAGAGAUGCUUUGGUGCCUUUCGGGAACUCUGAGACAGGUGCUGCAUGGCUGUCGUCAGCUCGUGUUGUGAAAUGUUGGGUUAAGUCCCGNAACGAGCGCAACCCUUAUCCUUUGUUGCCAGCGGUUCGCCGGGAACUCAAAGGAGACUGCCGGUGAUAAACCGGAGGAAGGUGGGGAUGACGUCAAGUCAUCAUGGCCCUUACGGCCAGGGCUACACACGUGCUACAAUGGCGCAUACAAAGAGAAGCGACCUCGCGAGAGCAAGCGGACCUCAUAAAGUGCGUCGUAGUCCGGAUUGGAGUCUGCAACUCGACUCCAUGAAGUCGGAAUCGCUAGUAAUCGUAGAUCAGAAUGCUACGGUGAAUACGUUCCCGGGCCUUGUACACACCGCCCGUCACACCAUGGGAGUGGGUUGCAAAAGAAGUAGGUAGCUUAACCUUCGGGAGGGCGCUUACCACUUUGUGAUUCAUGACUGGGGUGAAGUCGUAACAAGGUAAGCGUAGCGAG